rnacentral:rRNA from 1 species
CAGCCGCCGCGGGAAUACGUAGGGUGCAAGCGUUAAUCGGAAUUACUGGGCGUAAAGCGUGCGCAGGCGGUUAUAUAAGACAGAUGUGAAAUCCCCGGGCUCAACCUGGGAACUGCAUUUGUGACUGUAUAGCUAGAGUACGGCAGAUGGGGAUGGAAUUCCGCGUGUAGCAGUGAAAUGCGUAGAUAUGCGGAGGAACACCGAUGGCGAAGGCAAUCCCCUGGGCCUGUACUGACGCUCAUGCACGAAAGCGUGGGGAGCAAACAGGAUUAGAUACCCCUGUAGUCCCUGUCUCUUAUAC